rnacentral:rRNA from 1 species
GAUGAACGCUGGCGGCGUGCCUAACACAUGCAAGUCGAGCGGACGGGCGAGAAACUUGUUGCUCGGAUGUUAUCGGCGGACGGGGGGGUAACAAAUGGAUAACCAACCUAUAAGACUGGGAGAACUACGGCAAACAGUAGCGGCUAACGGAGAAUAUUUUGAGCCGGAUGGUUCAUGAGUGAAAGACAGGCUUGCUGUCGCUGGUGGAUGGGUUCGCGCUGCAUCAGCUAGUUGGUGGGGUAAGGGCUUACCAAGGCAACGAUGCAUAGCCGACCUGAGAGGAGGGUCGGCCACCCCACAAUGGAGACGCGGCCCAGCCCACUACGGGAGGCAGCAGUAGGGAAUCUUCCGCAAUGGGCGGAAGCCUGACGGAGCACCGCCGCGUGGGGUGUGAAGGUCUUCUGCUCGUAAUUCUCUGUUAUUUGGGAAGAACAUAUGUGUACGUAACUGUGCACAUCUUGACGGUACCUAAUCAAAAAGCCCCGGCUAACUACGUG